GUUAAUAUAAUUUGCGCAAACAAAAUUAUUCUUGGCUCAAUUUGAGAAAUUCUUCGUAACUGCGGAGAGAGCUAUUAAAAAACUCUGCAAAAGUUUAUAUAGUUUUUCGUAGCUACUUUGUUAAUUUUGAAAGGAGAUACGGAGACAAAAAAUUACCCGGCUGGAGUUCACAUUAAAAAUUAGCAAUAAAGAAGAGAGAAAAACAGCGAUUGUCCCUGAUCAAUUACCGAUGCUCAUUGCCAAAAUACAGAACUAACGAUGUUUUUCAUGGGUGCGAUGUCUACUUCAUUUCCCUGGCUGAUUAAGGCAGACCCGAAAAACCACCUUCAAUUCCUCAUUUACAAAUUUCUAUGGGAAAUUUAUUUGGGCCCAAUUUAUCUGAUAACUUUGGCUUCGAACUUCUAUUUCGUGAUGAACGUUUAUUUUAAUAAGGAGCUGCACACUUUGGAUUUUGUGCUUAUUACAAUCCAGUGUUCUUUGGAUCUAGUUCUUUCGGGGAUUAUUGGCCUGGUCCAGUAUGUCAUGGAGAUUCUGACUGCUCUCGUUUUUUUCUGCGGCUAUAGUGGAUUUUUGGACUAUGAAAAACUUGUUGAGAAAAACCAUUAUUUGGAGCCGUAUUCUAAGUGGAUGCACUUCUGCAGAAGCGACUUCAUUUAUGG